rnacentral:rRNA from 1 species
GACGAACGCUGGCGGCGUGCUUAAUACAUGCAAGUCAACGACUUUUAGAGUAGCAAUAUUUUAAAAGGAGUGGCGCACGGGUGAGUAACACGUAGGUAAUCUGCCUUCAGGACUGACACAACUCGUCGAAAGACGGGCUAAUAUCAGAUAAUGCAGCGGCUCCGCAUGGAGACAGUUGUUAAAGUACAAGCGCCUGAAGAUGAGCCUGCGGUCCAUUAGCUAGUUGGUAGAGUAACAGCCUACCAAGGCAACGAUGGAUAGCUGGUCUGAGAGGAUGAUCAGCCACACUGGAACUGAGACACGGUCCAGACUCCUACGGGAGGCAGCAGUAAGGAAUAUUGCUCAAUGGCGAAAGGCUGAAGCAGCAACGCCGCGUGAAGGAUGAAUGGCCUUUGGCCUGUAACUU